CCUACGUGAGGCAGCAGUGGGGAAUAUUGGGCAAUGGGCGCAAGCCUGACCCAGCAACGCCGCGUGAAGGAAGAAGGCUUUCGGGUUGUAAACUUCUUUUCUCAGGGACGAAGCAAGUGACGGUACCUGAGGAAUAAGCCACGGCUAACUACGUGCCAGCAGCCGCGGUAAUACGUAGGUGGCAAGCGUUAUCCGGAUUUACUGGGUGUAAAGGGCGUGUAGGCAGGAAAGCAAGUCAGAUGUGAAAACCAUGGGCUCAACCUGUGGCCUGCAUUUGAAACUGUUUUUCUUGAGUACUGGAGAGGCAGACGGAAUUCCUAGUGUAGCGGUGAAAUGCGUAGAUAUUAGGAGGAACACCAGUGGCGAAGGCGGUCUGCUGGACAGCAACUGACGCUGAGGCGCGAAAGCGUGGGGAGCAAACAGGAUUAGAUACCCCAGUAGUC
rnacentral:rRNA from 1 species